UACGUAGGGUGCGAGCGUUGUCCGGAAUUAUUGGGCGUAAAGAGCUCGUAGGCGGUCUGUUGCGUCGGCUGUGAAAACCCGGGGCUCAACCCCGGGCCUGCAGCCGAUACGGGCAGACUAGAGUUCGGCAGGGGAGACUGGAAUUCCUGGUGUAGCGGUGAAAUGCGCAGAUAUCAGGAAGAACACCCGUGGCGAAAGCGGCUCUCUGGAACGGUACUGACGCUGAGACGCGAAAGCGUGGGGAGCGAACAGG
rnacentral:rRNA from 1 species